rnacentral:rRNA from 1 species
CGGGUGAGUAAUGUCUGGGAAACUGCCUGAUGGAGGGGGAUAACUACUGGAAACGGUAGCUAAUACCGCAUAAUGUCGCAAGACCAAAGAGGGGGACCUUCGGGCCUCUUGCCAUCAGAUGUGCCCAGAUGGGAUUAGCUUGUUGGUGGGGUAACGGCUCACCAAGGCGACGAUCCCUAGCUGGUCUGAGAGGAUGACCAGCCACACUGGAACUGAGACACGGUCCAG